rnacentral:rRNA from 1 species
GACGAACGCUGGCGGCGUGCUUAACACAUGCAAGUCGAACGGAAAGGCCCUGCUUUUGUGGGGUGCUCGAGUGGCGAACGGGUGAGUAACACGUGAGUAACCUGCCCUUGACUUUGGGAUAACUUCAGGAAACUGGGGCUAAUACCGGAUAGGAGCUCCUGCUGCAUGGUGGGGGUUGGAAAGUUUCGGCGGUUGGGGAUGGACUCGCGGCUUAUUAGCUUGUUGGUGGGGUAGUUGCUUACCAAGGCUUUGACGGGUAGCCGGCCUGAGAGGGUGACCGGCCACAUUGGGACUGAGAUACGGCCCAGACUCCUACGGGAGGCAGCAGUGGGGAAUAUUGCACAAUGGGCGGGAGCCUGAUGCAGCAACGCCGCGUGCGGGAUGACGGCCUUCGGGUUGUAAACCGCUUUCGCCUGUGACGAAGCGUGAGUGACGGUAAUGGGUAAAGAAGCACCGGCUAACUACGUG